CCGACAGAAAGAGGCAGUCAAAAUCGUUGUAUUCUGAUGUAGUUAUUCUGAUGUAGUUAUCUGUUACACUUUUCCACUAAAAUGUACUCUUUGUUUGGCGUUAAAUAAAUAUCUUUUAAAUUUCCUAUUAUAUAUUAUGUGUUCUAAAUUUUUAUGUUAUGUGUUUAGUAGAAAGAAAGAUCACCCUUAGAGAACCAGUUGUUCAUUAGAUUUAUUUUUGGGCAAAGUGUUCAGCCUUACACAGAUCCUGAUUGUGGUCAUCAAAUUAGUUUGAACUUAUUUACAUCAAACUUGUUUGAAAAUGUUGAUGUUCUGUCCUACUUGUGGAAAUAUAUUGACCGCUGAAGAAAGGAAGGAUAACUUUCGGAUGGUGUGUGGAAGUUGCCCAUACAACUACAUUGUACGAAAGCGUUUGAGUAGUCGCUUGUAUCCUAAACUUAAAGAAGUAGAUGAUGUCUUGGGUGGUGCUAAAGCAUGGGAAAAUGUGGAAACUACUGAAGAAAAUUGUCCAAAAUGUGGUCAUCCGAAAGCUUAUUUUCUUCAAAUACAGACUCGUUCUGCUGAUGAACCAAUGACAACAUUCUAUAAGUGUGUAGAUUGUGCUCAUCGAUGGAAAGAAUAAAAUUAGUCUUUAUUAUUUUUAUUCAAAUAUGAUAUUUUUUCUCAAAUAUGUACAUAUUGUUUAAUAAAAACAAAAACCUCG